rnacentral:rRNA from 1 species
GAUGAACGCUGGCGGCGUGCCUAAUACAUGCAAGUCGAGCGAACAGACGAAGAGAUUGCUCCUCGCAAGUUAGCGGCGGACGGGUGAGCAACACGAGGAUAACCCACCUAUAAGACUAGGAUAACUCCCGCAAACCGGAGCUAAUACCGGAUCAUAUAUCCAACCGCAGGAGCCAGGAGCGAAAGCCGGUUUUGAUGUCACGUAUCGAUGGAUCCGCGCCGCAUUGGCUAGUCGGUAAGGUAACGGCUUACCAAGGCAACGAUGAGUAGCCGACCUGAGAGGGUGACCGGCCACCCUGCAACUGGGCCACCGUCCAGACUCCUACGGGACGCUGCAGCAGGGAACCUUGCGCAAUGCGCGCAGACUCGCCACAACCCCGCCCCGUGAGGCAUGAGGUUCCCCCGCUCGCAACAGUCUCUUAUUAGGGACGACCCUAUCUGUAAGUGACUAUGCCCGUCUUCACCGUCCCUUGUCAGAAAGCCACCGCUACCUUCUUG